UGGGGAAUAUUGCACAAUGGGCGCAAGCCUGAUGCAGCCAUGCCGCGUGUGUGAAGAAGGCCUUCGGGUCGUAAAGCACUUUCAGCGAGGAGGAAGGUGGUGAGCUUAAUACGCUCAUCAAUUGACGUUACUCGCAGAAGAAGCACCGGCUAACUCCGUGCCAGCAGCCGCGGUAAUACGGAGGGUGCAAGCGUUAAUCGGAAUUACUGGGCGUAAAGCGCACGCAGGCGGUUUGUUAAGUCAGAUGUGAAAUCCCCGGGCUCAACCUGGGAACUGCAUUUGAAACUGGCAAGCUAGAGUCUCGUAGAGGGGGGUAGAAUUCCAGGUGUAGCGGUGAAAUGCGUAGAGAUCUGGAGGAAUACCGGUGGCGAAGGCGGCCCCCUGGACGAAGACUGACGCUCAGGUGCGAAAAGCGUGGGGCAGCAAACAGGAUUAGAUACCCUGGUAGUCCACGCUGUAAAACGAUGUCGA
rnacentral:rRNA from 1 species